rnacentral:tRNA from 1 species
GCGUUCGUAGCUCAGCUGGAUAGAGCACUGGUCUNNCGGUCAGGGAUUCGAAUUCCUUCGAGCGCACCA